GGUGACCUGCGGAGGGAUCAUUACACAACAAAAUAUGAAGGCCUGGCUUCGCGGCCGGCUGAAAUAUUUUUUUCACCCAUGUCUUUUGCGCACUUGUUGUUUCCUGGGCGGGUUCGCCCGCCACCAGGACCAAACCAUAAACCUUUUUUUUAUGCAGUUGCAAUCAGCGUCAGUAAAAACAAUGUAAUUAUUACAACUUUCAACAACGGAUCUCUUGGUUCUGGCAUCGAUGAAGAACGCAGCGAAAUGCGAUACGUAGUGUGAAUUGCAGAAUUCAGUGAAUCAUCGAAUCUUUGAACGCACAUUGCGCCCUUUGGUAUUCCAAAGGGCAUGCCUGUUCGAGCGUCAUUUGUACCUUCAAGCUUUGCUUGGUGUUGGGCGUUUUUUGUCUCCCUCUUUCUGGGAGACUCGCCUUAAAACGAUUGGCAGCCGGCCUACUGGUUUCGGAGCGCAGCACAUAUUUUGCGCUUUGUAUCAGGAGAAAAGGACGGUAAUCCAUCAAGACUCUACAUUUUUAACUUUUGACCUCGGAUCAGGUAGGGAUACCCGCUGAACUUAAGCAUAUCAAUAAGCGGAGGAAAAGAAACCAACAGGGAUUGCCCUAGUAACGGCGAGUGAAGCGGCAACAGCUCAAAUUUGAAAUCUGGCUCUUUCAGAGUCCGAGUUGUAAUUUGCAGAGGGCGCUUUGGCUUUGGCAGCGGUCCAAGUUCCUUGGAACAGGACGUCACAGAGGGUGAGAAUCCCGUACGUGGUCGCUAGCUAUUGCCGUGUAAAGCCCCUU
rnacentral:rRNA from 1 species